GGGUGGCAGCAGAGUUGGAAUGGGAUAGGUAGUUCCCCAGUUUCCAGGACCCAAGACGGCCUGCUGGGAUAGGGUAUAUAAGUCCGGAAGGGGCUGGACCAGGGACAGGCUAGCCCAGACUUCAGGUACUGGCUGUGAUGAGGAGGAGUGGGCUAGUCCCCCGAGUCGGUCACCAGCUCAACUGAACUCUCAGAUAGAGUUUUUCUCUUGUUGCCCAGGCUGGAAUGCAAUGGCACAAUCUUGGCUCACCGCAACCUCUGCCUCCCGGGUUCAAGAGAUUCUCCUGCCUCAGCCUCCCAAGUAAGUGGGAUUACAGAAAUUGGAUUUCACUCUGUUGCCCAGGCUAGAGUCCAGUGGUGGCAUCCUAGAUCACUGCAUCCUCAACCUCCUGAGCCCAAGUGAUCCUCCUGCCUCAGCCUACAGAGCAGCUGGGAACACAGGCUCAUGCCACCAUGCCCAGUGAAACACAUUCCUGAUCUUCUCCAUGAUCUUCAUGGCCAUGAUGGUCUUCCCUGAGCCAGGAAAAUGAAUGCCUCUCUUGAGUCCAUGGAACGCACAGAGGUCUCAGAUCUACGGUGUAAUGAAGAACUGAUGCUGCAAAGGCGGGGCUCGACAGAGCCAUCUUCAGGGAAAGGGCCACUGCUCCAAGAUUUAACAAAAAUGUAAAAACACCUUCCUUGUUGCUUGGUCUCAAAGAAAGCCUGCAGAUCUGAAGACUGAAUAAGGUCUCUCAAAGACUGUUCUAAAUCCAGUCCCAUCUCCACAGGAUGCUCAACCUUCUUGGCCAUCUGAAUCACUCCUCCUCCUGAGUUUAAUAAAGCACAUGCAGCCCGUGUAA